rnacentral:lncRNA from 10 species
GCCUGGACGUUGCCCUGGAUCUGUUCUAGGGCCAGGGGCAGGUCAGUGAUGGUAACAUCCCCCCCUGAGAGAGAGGAAGGAGGAAAAAUGCAAGUCAGAGGAACCAACCAAGGGUUCUUGGCUCCUGCCUGGAAGGUCCAGAGACCUCAGAGCAUAGAGGACAAUGUCUUGACAGCCCAGAGCCCACACUGGCUUUUAGUUGCCUCAACCUCCAUUUCACCCACUGCUAUUCUCAUUACUCUACAUUCUACAACAUCAACAUUCUCUCUGAGCUAAUCUUCAACCUCUCUGGCCAACACACAACAAUCAGAUGUCAGCAGAAGCCUGGGCAGGACUAAUAGGAGUUAGUCAGGUGGAGCUUUCCAAGAAGAGAACAGUGAGUACAAAGGCCUGGGAGUGAAAGAGCAUGGCAUAUUCAGGAAAGGCUGCAUCUUAGAGGAUGUGGAAGGGGGAGAAAAGUGUCAAGACAUGAGACAAAGGGAAAGUGAUUAUGACAUGCUAAGAAGAUUCAGGUUCGAUACUGAGGGCAGUAAGCUUUAAGGGCAGAAACGGGUGAAGAUGGUCAGAUUAGCAUCUCAGAAACCUUCAUUCAUGCAGUAGAUAUAAUUUGGAGAACCUUCUAAGUGCUGGGUAUAUAAGGUGAGCAAGACAAAAACACAGCUUUCUUUGUUUCAUUCUAGAGGUAGAGACACACUAGGUACUGCAUCAUAAUCAUGAUGACUAUGAUAGAAAGAGAAGCAAGAAGUACUAGGAAUCCAUUCAUUCAUUCAUAUUUAUUAUGUGCCUAUAUGCCAAGUGCUGAGAACAUAAUGAUGAACUAAGAAGAUAAGAAUCCCCCCUCACAGAGCUUAUGGUCCAGUGGCAAGAAACAGAUGAUAACAACAAACAAAAUAAAUAAAAUAAAAUACACUGUACAUCAGAUGGUAAUAUAUGCCAUGGUGAAGCCCCAAGCAGGGAAGGGGGAUAAGAAUUGCUUGAGGGAUGGGGAGAAAUGCAAGUUAGAGGGACCAACCAAGGGUUCUCGGCUCCUACCUGGAAGGUCCAGAGACCCCAGGGCAUAGAGGACAAAGUCUUGGCAGCCUGAAUGUAAUUUUAAAUUGAGUGGCUGGAGAAUGAAAUUUUAAAUUGAGUGGUCAGACCAGCCUGACCAAAAUGGUGAAACCCCAUAUCUACUAAAAAUACAAAAAAAUUAGCUGGGUGUGGUGGCGGGCGCCUGUAAUGCCAGCUACUAGGGAGGCUGAGGCAGGAGAAUCGCUUGAACCUGGGAGGCGAAGGUUGCAAUGAGCCGAGAUUGUGCCAUUGCACUCCGACCUGGGCAACAAGUGCAAGACUCUGUCUCAAAAAAAAAAGAAUGGCACACGCUGGCAUGCUUUAGGAGGAGCAUGCUGGCUGCUAUGAUGAGAAGAGUACAGGAGGGCAAGGUCAGAAGCUAGGAGACCAGUUAGGAGGUGAUGGCAAUGACUCAGGUGAGAGAUGAUGAUGGUUUAAACCAGGGCAGUAGCAAUGGCUAAGAAAUGGUCAGAUCCUGAAUAUAUUUUGAAGGUAGAGUCAACAGGAUUUGCCAAUAGAUUGGAUAUAAAAUAUGAGAGAGAGAGAAAAGCUUGGGAUGGGCCAGGCACAGUGGCUCACGCCUGUAAUCCCUUUGGAUUACACUUUGGGAGGCCAAUGCGGGAUGACUGCUUGAGUCCAGGAGUUUGAGACCAGUCUGGGCAACAUAGCAAAACCUCGUCUCUAUAAAAAAUACAAAAAUUAGCUGGGUGUGGUGGCACAUCCUGUAGUCCCAGCUACUCGGGAGGCUGAGGUCAGAGGAUUGCUUGAGCCUCGGGAGGUUGAAAGUUCAGGGCUUUAGUGAGCCAUGAUUGUGCUACUUUCACUCCAGCCUGGGCAACAGAGUGAGAACCUGUCUCAAAAAAAAAAAAAAAGCUCAGGAUGGUUUCUGGGUGUUUGGCCUGACCAACUAGAAGACCAAAUUGCCACUCAUUUAGAUGAGAAAGGUUGCAGGAGGCGCAAUUUGGACAGGAAGAUCAUGAGUUCAUUUUCUGAGCACGUUAAGUUUGACAUGGACUUCUAUAUCACAUCAGACAACCACAUGAAGAUACUGAGUAGGCACUAGGUUAUGCAAGCAAGUCUGGAGAUAGAAAUGGGAUAGUCUUAGAGUCAUGAUCACCAACGGGGCAUUUUUUUUUUUUUUUUUUUGAGAUGGAGUCUCGCACUUGUUGCCCAGGCUGGAGGGCAAUGGCAUGAUCUCGGCUCAUUGCAACCUCCGCCUCCCAGGUUUAAGCAAUUCUCCUGCCUCAGCCUCGCAAGUAGCUGGGAUUACAGGCGCCUGCCACCACGCCCGGCUAAUUUUGUAUUUUUAGUAGAGAUGGGGUUUCACCAUGUUGGUCAGGCUAGUCUCAAACUCCUGACCUCAGGUGAUCCACCCACCUUAGCCUCCCAAAGUGCUCGGAUUACAGGCGUAAGCCACCGCGUCCGGCUUCAACAGGACAUUUAAAGGCAUGAGGUGAUGGGCUGCUCAGGAGUGAGGUAGACAAGAAAAGGAGGGGAUCAAAGGACUGCCCCUGAGCCCUGGGGCACUCACAUUUUCAGUUGUGAAGAUGAAAAAGAACCAACAAGAGAGCAUGGAAAAGGAGUUCCUGCCGGUAAGCAGAAACCAGAAGUGUGGUCCCCUGGAAACCAAAGGAAUUAAUAGGAGGAGAGGAACUAGACACUGAAUAUUAACUCUUUUGAGUUUUGUUUUAAAGUGGAGCAUAGAAAUGGAGUGAUAGCUGGAGGGAGAUGUAGGAUCAAGAGUUUUUUUCUGAAAUAAGAGAAAUCAUAGCAUAUUUAUAUGCAUUUUAUAUUCCAUAUAUUACUAUAUAUGGAAUGAUCCAAAGAAAAGGAAAAACUGAGAAUGCAGGAGAGAUGGGGGUGGGUGUUGCUGGAACAAUGUCUUUGAGUAGGCAGAAAGAUUUGGGGUCUUGUGACAAGUGGGGGGCUUGACCUUAGCUAGCACAAUGUGUUCAUCCAUGGUAACAGGAGAGAAGGCACUGCACACAGAUGCAGAUGCAGUCACAUAAGUAGAUGUUGUGAUAAAAAUAUAUGGACAUUUUCUGAGAAAACAGAAGCAAUCAUUAGAGAUAAGAAACAGCCCAGGUGCGGUGGCUUCCCUUAAUAUGACCUAGUUCUGUCCCUAUGAACAAAGACAUGUUAAUUUACAUUCCUAGGGAGAUGACAUUGUAAGAAUUUUUAAACGAGUGCUUUCAGUUUGAGGUUUUUUCUGCCCAUUAGAUUAUAAUUUGUGAAACUGUUUCCUCUGUAGUUUUUGCUUCUUGACAAAAGAGAAGCAAAUUUUUCCUUACCUUUUCCUUUUCCAAGUCUGCAGUGUCUAAUUCCUACCCCGCUUCCUACAAAACACAUCCUAACCCUUGGAAACUCAUAAGCUUGUUUCUCUUAGCAAUAAAAACCUAAGGAAUCUGAAAUAUAUUCAUAAUAAAGUUAUAAAGCACUCACGAAGUUUAAUGUCUGCAAGUCUCCCUACAGAGUACCCCCAUAUGUGCAUCUUGACAGAAGACCAUG